rnacentral:rRNA from 1 species
UACGUAGGUGGCAAGCGUUAUCCGGAAUUAUUGGGCGUAAAGAGCGCGCAGGUGGUUGAUUAAGUCUGAUGUGAAAGCCCACGGCUUAACCGUGGAGGGUCAUUGGAAACUGGUCGACUUGAGUGCAGAAGAGGGAAGUGGAAUUCCAUGUGUAGCGGUGAAAUGCGUAGAGAUAUGGAGGAACACCAGUGGCGAAGGCGGCUUCCUGGUCUGUAACUGACGCUGAGGUGCGAAAGCGUGGGUAGCAAACAGGAUUAGAUA